AUUGAACGCUGGCGGCAUGCCUUACACAUGCAAGUCGAACGGCAGCACGGGUGCUUGCACCUGGUGGCGAGUGGCGAACGGGUGAGUAAUACAUCGGAACAUGUCCUGUAGUGGGGGAUAGCCCGGCGAAAGCCGGAUUAAUACCGCAUACGAUCUACGGAUGAAAGCGGGGGACCUUCGGGCCUCGCGCUAUAGGGUUGGCCGAUGGCUGAUUAGCUAGUUGGUGGGGUAAAGGCCUACCAAGGCGACGAUCAGUAGCUGGUCUGAGAGGACGACCAGCCACACUGGGACUGAGACACGGCCCAGACUCCUACGGGAGGCAGCAGUGGGGAAUUUUGGACAAUGGGCGAAAGCCUGAUCCAGCAAUGCCGCGUGUGUAAAGAAGGCCUUCGGGUUGUAAAGCACUUUUGUCCGGAAAGAAAUCCUUGGCCCUAAUACGGUCGGGGGAUGACGGUACCGGAAGAAUAAGCACCGGCUAACUACGUG
rnacentral:rRNA from 1 species